rnacentral:piRNA from 1 species
UAGGUAGGUACUAGGGCGGUCUGAGCUUG